rnacentral:rRNA from 1 species
GAUGAACGCUAGCGACAGGCCUAACACAUGCAAGUCGAGGGGCAGCACAAGGGUAGCAAUACUCUGGUGGCGACCGGCGCACGGGUGAGUAUCGCGUAUGCAACCUACCUACCACAGGGGGAUAGCCUUCCGAAAGGGAGAUUAAUACCGCAUGAAACAGGGGUCCCGCAUGGGGAUAUUUGUUAAAGAUUUAUCGGUGGUAGAUGGGCAUGCGUUCCAUUAGCUAGUUGGCGGGGUAACGACCCACCAAGGCGACGAUGGAUAGGGGAACUGAGAGGUUUAUCCCCCACACUGGGACUGAGACACGGCCCAGACUCCUACGGGAGGCAGCAGUGAGGAAUAUUGGUCAAUGGGCGGGAGCCUGAACCAGCCAAGUCGCGUGGAGGACGACGGUUCUAUGGAUUGUAAACUCCUUUUGCACUGGGGUAAAACGGGGGACGUGUCCCCCCUUGCAAGUACAGUGCGAAUAAGCAUCGGCUAACUCCGUGCCAGCCGCCGCUGUAACAC